GACGAACGCUGGCGGCGUGCUUAACGCAUGCAAGUCGAACGGAAAGGCCCUGCUUUUGUGGGGUGCUCGAGUGGCGAACGGGUGAGUAACACGUGAGUAACCUGCCCUUGACUUUGGGAUAACUUCAGGAAACUGGGGCUAAUACCGGAUAGGAGCUCCUGCUGCAUGGUGGGGGUUGGAAAGUUUCGGCGGGUGGGGAUGGACUCGCGGCUUAUCAGCUUGUUGGUGGGGUAGUGGCUUACCAAGGCUUGGACGGGUAGCCGGCCUGAGAGGGUGACCGGCCACAGUGGGACUGAGAAGGGGCCCGGACUCCUACGGGAGGCAGCAGUGGGAGAUAGUGCAAAAGGGGCGGAGGCCGGAUGCAGCGACGCCGCGUGGGGGAGGACGGCCUUCGGGUUGGAAGCCGCGUUCGCCGGUGACGAAGCGGGAGUGACGGUAAUGGGUAAAGAAGCACCGGCUAACUACGUG
rnacentral:rRNA from 1 species